CAGUCGCCGCGGUAAUACGAAGGUCCCGAGCGUUGUUCGGAAUCACUGGGCGUAAAGGGAGCGUAGGCGGCGUGGUAAGUCGGAUGUGAAAUCCCGGGGCUCAACCCCGGAACUGCAUCCGAUACUGCCAUGCUAGAGGAUUGGAGAGGUAGCUGGAAUUCUUGGUGUAGCAGUGAAAUGCGUGGAGAUCAAGAGGAACACUCGUGGCGAAAGCGAGCUACUGGACAAUAACUGACGCUGAGGCUCGAAGGCCAGGGUAGCGAAAGGGAUUAGAUACCCCAGUAGUCCCUGUCUCUUAUAC
rnacentral:rRNA from 1 species